rnacentral:rRNA from 1 species
GGGGGCUAGCGUUGGUCGGAAUUACUGGGCGUAAAGCGCGUGUAGGCGGUUAGCCAAGUCGGGGGUGAAAGCCUUGAGCUUAACUCAAGAAAUGCACUCGGUACUGGGUGACUAGAGGACCGGAGAGGAUAGUGGAAUUCCCAGUGUAGUGGUGAAAUACGUAGAGAUUGGGAAGAACACCAGUGGCGAAGGCGGCUAUCUGGACGGUUUCUGACGCUAAGACGCGAAAGCGUGGGGAGCAAACAGG